GGGGGUGUAGCUCAGUGGUAGAGCAUUUGCCUAGCAUGUGUGAGGUCCUGGGUUCAAUCCCUAGCCAGUACCA
rnacentral:tRNA from 1 species